CUCCUCUUUAUUAAACAGUUUACAUUGAGGAUCUUUUAAAAUAAUAACAAAAUUACUGAAAAAUAAAUUGCUCAAAUAAAAAACUUAAUACACAAAAUUACAAAUGUGUCCAGGUUAUGCUAAAUUCUAAUAAAACAAUUGAAACUGCUCAACUAAGAAAUCUACAGAAAAGAUACUCUAUUACAAAAUUCUUAAAUAGCCUAUGAGAAAGAUAAAAAUGCUGAGACAAAGUGCUUUUUCCUUUUUAAGAUAAACAUUAUUCUUGUGGUUCUUAAAGACAUCAGAUUCAGCUAUUUAGUCACUUACAAAACUUAACUUCCUCAAUAUAAUUCCCCAGAGCAGCUUCGGCUGAAUAAAAUGACUUGGACAAUAUCCCUUGUUAAUUCAUAAUUUUUGUUAUCCCUUAAAAUACGUAUGGUAAGGUUUGGAAAGAGGAAAAAGAAUUAAUACUUGAGUACAUUCAGUUGACUAAAAUAUUUUCUUUAAAUGAGUCAGUUACAUUUCAGUACAGGGAAUUUCGUUAACAACUACCUAGGAUCUUUGUGUGCAUCUUUGUGUGCUGACCUAUUAUCGUGGUGAUCAUUUUAAAACGUAUAGAAGUACUUAAUCACUAUGUUGUGUAACAGGAACUAACAUAGUGUUUAGAUCAACUGUACUUCAAAAGCAAACAAACAAAAAAAACUCAUUGAAAAAGAGAUCAGAUUUGUGGUUACCAGAGGCAGUAAGGAGAGGGGAAACUGGAUGAAGGUACAAAUUUCCAGUUACAAGAUAAAUAAGUACUAGGGAUAUAAUGAAAAACAUGACACAUAUAAUUAACAAGGCUGUAUGUUAUUUUUGAAAGUUAGCUAGAAGAAAAUAACAUAUAUUAAUUAAAAAUCCAUGAAUAAAAUAAUUUUUUUCUUUAUAUUUGUGUGAGGGAAACCAGAGAAAGGCAAAACAAACAGUACUUUGAGUUUAACUACAAAUGAGGGGGGAAAAACACAAGUGAAAAAAAACCAUAAUUCUGAACUGUCCUCACCCACAAAUUCCCUUUUCAAAACCUCCCUUGAUUAAAAAAUAAAUAAAAAUAGAAUUAAAAUUCAUUCAGCUAUCAAAUAUAAAGUGAAGAGAUGAUUUACCCAUUAUCUAGUACAUUGCAAUCUCUUGUGAUACCUAAAAUACCUGAUUCGACUGCCCCAGGGGAAAAAAAAAAAACAACAUGCCAAAAUUCUUGGUUAUUUUAUGCAGCGCUGUCAAAGCUUCAGUCUGGAAAACCAACCAAACAGCAUUUUUCACAAUUUCCAAAUACUUUUCAUAAGGGAUCUGUGGUUUGUUUCUUAAAACUUUAGAAAAAUUAGUAACCCUUUUUAUCAAGUAGACUUUCUUUACUAACGCAAACCACAAUAAAUCUUACUAUCCACCAUUUCCAUACUUCUGUUUGCUGUUUACAUUCUGACAAGUCCAUUUUUAAUUUUAAAAUGACAGCGGUAAAGGGGAGAAAACUCUUUAUCUCAGUAAAUAUAGAUAAAGCUACCAGAUGAGGUUUAUUCCUAAACUUUAUUGUUAAUGAUUUGAAAAGUAGUAUAAAGACUAAGCAAAGCUCUUUUGGAAGACAGAGUUACAUCUGAUAUGAAAAUCAUCGAUUGAGACCCAAAUGUCAUUUUUAGAGAGUCACUUUUCUAACUAUAACCAGGCAUUUAGACAGCCAAUAAAUUAUAAAAUAAUAAAUGUAAAGGGUGCUCAAAUCAAUGUCCUUGAAGGGCAGAUGAAGGUAAUCAGCCUCUCCCAUAUGGCAAUAAAUAGAAUUUUUAUCCACUGAGGAUUUAAAGCCAAGUAAAAACUCCUGACAGAACUUUAGGAACUGAUUCUACAGAAUAUAUCUCAGUCACAUAGGACAACCGAUAAACACACUGCAGACUCCCAGGAUUUGCGUAUGCUUGGGCAUCUUCCCCAAAUGGUAUUCUGCAGCAAAAGAAAUAUAGAUAUUGAUUUAGAAUUUUUGAUGUGCUUUUAGCUAUACCAUCCAAUAAAAUGAACUGUGAGGAAGUUUUUCACCUACUGUAACCUUUUCUACCUGCUUGCAUUUUUAGUAACAAAUAUUAAUCCCUUGUCUGACCUUGAAUGUCUCUCAUAUGCUGGUCUGUCAUCUCUGCUCUCUAGUUUUUUCUCUCCAUCUCAGUUCUCUGCUUACAGAAACAUCAACUAUUGUAUCCAUUUCUAUUCCCUUUCUUUUCCUAGACUUGCCAAUCUUCUACUCUUGCGCACUGAAUUUCUAGUCUAAAACUGUUCAGUUUAUAAACUCAGCAUGCUUAAUAUUUUAAAAUGACAAAUAUAAAGAAAGGGAGCGCACUGGUAAUGUUUAUUUGGAUUGUCCUCUUUCAGAGCUAAGGGCUAGGCAACAUAGAUGGCAAUAAGAGAUAAAGAUAAAAAGACUGAGAAAAGGAACAAGCAACGUAAUUAAGAGCAGGACAUGCAUAUCCAGAAACUAGCUUAAUUUAGCAGUUUUGCCUCUAGGAUACAUCAUAUAAACAUUCUUAGAACUUAUCAGGGUUGCAUCUUCCAGUUAAAGAUAGUAAAUCAAUGCACAGCUACUUUAUAAUGAUGAUAUAGAUAAAAUGUACUACUUAGGUGUUCUUCUCUUAAAUCUAAAACGAAACAUAUGGAAAAGUACUAAACAGACAUUCAUUUCCCCUCAUAUACAACUUGUAUCAAGUUCCUAUCGGCAAAAAUCUCCACCUGUGCAGCAUGAUUGUAUGUUCAGACUGUAAAGUUGUCACCAUAACCAACCAAAUGGUUGAAGACUCUGGUAAGAACUAAUGUUAUCUGGACUGUCUUAAGCAUUCCAUGAUCUUAUCACUAAGAAAAACAUAAUACUGGCUACGGUUUGAUAAAUAAAUUUUAAUUAUGUUAGUACCUUAGUAACCUCUGAUGAUUGAUAAAUAAAUUUUAAUUAUGUUAGUACCUUAGUAACCUCUGAUGAGUCCCAUAAAACUAUGAAUGUUUGCAGCCUCCAUAUUUUAAAGAGCAAAUUUGCAAGCUAUUAAAUACACAGUCUACAUAUAAGAAAUAACAUACUGGGUCAAAUCAUUUAAUCAACAAAAUAAACUUAAACCUCUCCAAGAAGUGAAGGAUGUCAGAAUCUUAGGAUUUUAAGGGAACUUAAAAGCAUCAAGUAACUCGUAAAAAGUAAUAUUCAUAUUUUUUGACCAUUUUCUUACACAAUACAUGCCAAUCUACCAGUAAUCUCUCCUAACCUGCAAUCUCUGGGUGGGGAGGGGCAACGAAAGAAAAUGUGUACAAUUACAAACAAAACCAAAAAUCACUCCAAUCCCUAGGAAUCUGAUCUGCUCUCUGGUUCAGACUCACUAAUUGUUUAUCAGAUUCAUCUACACAUACAGCAGCAAGAUUUCCUUCACAACAUCCUUGCCACGUGCAUUCACCCAGCAUCUGAAAGAACACUUCCAGAACAGGAAGUGCUCAGUGCUGAACAAGCUUUGUAGUGAGCUGAUAAUAUUUUUAAACUAUUUUUUCUCUAAUUACAUA
rnacentral:lncRNA from 1 species